rnacentral:rRNA from 1 species
GGGAAGAGCCCAGCGCCGAAUCCCCGAUCUUAUAGGUCGCGGGAAAUGUGGCGUUUAGGAGUGGGCGUGCCGAGGUCGGAACCCGCAGCAAGUCCCCCUGACCGGGGCCUUCCCAGAGCGGGUGCGAGGCCCAUAGCCGCGGGGUCCGUCUCGGAURCGAUCUCCUGGGAGUCGGGUUGCUUGGGAGUGCAGCCUUAAGCGGGUGGUAAACUCCACCUAAGGCUAAAUACUGCCGUGAGACCGAUAGCAAACAAGUACCGUGAGGGAAAGUUGCAAAGAACUUUGAAGAGAGAGUUCAAGAGUACGUGAAACUGCUCAGAGGUAAACGGGUGGGCACUCGAAAUCCYGUGSMGGGAGGAUUCAGUCUGUAGUUGCCGUCGCGCUGGUCGGAUAUCRAAAGGGCUUCCUGCGAACAGGGGCCGUCCGAUCGCGAGCUUCGGUGGGGACAGACGCAUUUGUCUCCCGGUCUGAGGACGCCGUUGCCCGCGGGGAAAUGCAAACGUGACGGCCUUGAAGGCGGGAAAUGGCAGGUGGCCGGUAGCGAACCUCGUGCUCUCUGCCGGUUGUUAGCCGUCCCGUCGGUGACUCGUCUCCCCGCGGAGGUAUCCUCCCGGAAAAAGUCUGGACGUGCAGCGRAGAGCGAAGACAAUCGCGCGGCCGCACUCCGCAGGAGUGGGCCGCCGUAAGGUCUGCGCCGACUGACGCUGAGGACCAGUCGGAGGUUAGCGGCGAGUUGGUCGGUCACCCACCCGACCCGUCUUGAAACACGGACCAAGGAGUCUAACAUGUGCGCGAGUCAGUGGGUCUCGAACAAGCCCAGAGGCGCAAUGAAAGUAAAGGUCGGUACCCGCCGACCCAGUCGGGAUCCCGGCAUUCUUSGUGGGCGCACCGACGACCCGUCCUAUGCCGUUUACGGCUUGGGCGGA